ACCUACGGGGGGCAGCAGUAGGGAAUCUUCGGCAAUGGGCGAAAGCCUGACCGAGCAACGCCGCGUGAAUAAAGAAGGCCUUCGGGUUGUAAAAUUCUGUUCUAAGGGAAGAAAGGUGAUAGGAGGAAAUGACUAUCAAUUGACGGUACCUUAUGAGAAAGCCACGGCUAACUACGUGCCAGCAGCCGCGGUAAUACGUAGGGAGCGAGCGUUGUCCGGAAUUACUGGGUGUAAAGGGAGUGUAGGCGGGAUGGUAAGUUAGGUGUGAAAUGCGGAGGCUCAACCUCCGAGCUG
rnacentral:rRNA from 1 species